GACGGGGGGGGCAAGUGUUCUUCGGAAUGACUGGGCGUAAAGGGCACGUAGGCGGUGAAUCGGGUUGAAAGUGAAAGUCGCCAAAAAGUGGCGGAAUGCUCUCGAAACCAAUUCACUUGAGUGAGACAGGGGAGAGUGGAAUUUCGUGUGUAGGGGUGGAAAUCCGUAGAUCUACGAAGGAACGCCAAAAAGCGAACGGCAGCUACU
rnacentral:rRNA from 1 species